rfam:Erinaceus europaeus unplaced genomic scaffold scaffold00086, whole genome shotgun sequence
UUAUAAGGAAGGCGCCGAUCCUCCAUUUCAGCCUUUCUUUCUACUGAGACGUGGCCAUGGGAUUUCUGGCCUUGUAAACACAGGACUCCUUGGGGUCU